rnacentral:rRNA from 1 species
GACGAACGCUGGCGGCGUGCCUAAUACAUGCAAGUAGAACGCUGAAGGAGGAGCUUGCUUCUCCGGAUGAGUUGCGAACGGGUGAGUAACGCGUAGGUAACCUGCCUGGUAGCGGGGGAUAACUAUUGGAAACGAUAGCUAAUACCGCAUAACAGUAGAUAUUGCAUGAUAUCUGCUUGAAAGGUGCAAUUGCAUCACUACCAGAUGGACCUGCGUUGUAUUAGCUAGUUGGUGAGGUAACGGCUCACCAAGGCGACGAUACAUAGCCGACCUGAGAGGGUGAUCGGCCACACUGGGACUGAGACACGGCCCAGACUCCUACGGGAGGCAGCAGUAGGGAAUCUUCGGCAAUGGACGGAAGUCUGACCGAGCAACGCCGCGUGAGUGAAGAAGGUUUUCGGAUCGUAAAGCUCUGUUGUAAGAGAAGAACGAGUGUGAGAGUGGAAAGUUCACACUGUGACGGUAUCUUACCAGAAAGGGACGGCUAACUACGUGCCAGCAGCCGCGGUAAUACGUAGGUCCCGAGCGUUGUCCGGAUUUAUUGGGCGUAAAGCGAGCGCAGGCGGUUAGAUAAGUCUGAAGUUAAAGGCUGUGGCUUAACCAUAGUACGCUUUGGAAACUGUUUAACUUGAGUGCAAGAGGGGAGAGUGGAAUUCCAUGUGUAGCGGUGAAAUGCGUAUAUAUAUGGAGGAACACCGGUGGCGAAAGCGGCUCUCUGGCUUGUAACUGACGCUGAGGCUCGAAAGCGUGGGGAGCAAACAGG